AUGAACGCUGGCGGCGUGCCUCAUCCAUGCAAGUUGAGCGAACAGACGAGGAGCUUGCUCCUCUGACGUUAGCGGCGGACGGGUGAGUAACACGUGGAUAACCUACCUAUAAGACUGGGAUAACUUCGGGAAACCGGAGCUAAUACCGGAUAAUAUAUUGAACCGCAUGGUUCAAUAGUGAAAGACGGUUUUGCUGUCACUUAUAGAUGGAUCCGCGCCGCAUUAGCUAGUUGGUAAGGUAACGGCUUACCAAGGCAACGAUGCGUAGCCGACCUGAGAGGGUGAUCGGCCACACUGGAACUGAGACACGGUCCAGACUCCUACGGGAGGCAGCAGUAGGGAAUCUUCCGCAAUGGGCGAAAGCCUGACGGAGCAACGCCGCGUGAGUGAUGAAGGUCUUCGGAUCGUAAAACUCUGUUAUUAGGGAAGAACAAAUGUGUAAGUAACUAUGCACGUCUUGACGGUACCUAAUCAGAAAGCCACGGCUAACUACGUG
rnacentral:rRNA from 1 species